GUGCCAGCAGCCGCGGUAAUACGUAGGGUGCAAGCGUUGUCCGGAAUUACUGGGCGUAAAGAGCUCGUAGGCGGUUUGUCACGUCGGAUGUGAAAUCCCGAGGCUCAACCUCGGGUCUGCAUACGAUACGGGCAGACUAGAGUUCGGUAGGGGAGACUGGAAUUCCUGGUGUAGCGGUGAAAUGCGCAGAUAUCAGGAGGAACACCGGUGGCGAAGGCGGGUCUCUGGGCCGAUACUGACGCUGAGGAGCGAAAGCGUGGGGAGCAAACAGGAUUAGAUACCCUGGUAGUCCACGCCGUAAACGUUGGGCGCUAGGUGUGGGGAACUUUCCACGUUCUCCGUGCCGCAGCUAACGCAUUAAGCGCCCCGCCUGGGGAGUACGGCCGCAAGGCUAAA
rnacentral:rRNA from 1 species